UUGACUUGCAGGUCAUUUUCAAGGGUAAACCGCUUCCUCUAGUUGCGAAGCCACAGUGAUCCGGUUACGGUUAAGGAUUUCUAAAUUUGAACCUUGGAAUCUUAGCAUCUCAGUGUUUUGAAAUCGAUUGCGGCUACACUCCAACUUUUCUCUUCUAAAGCACCACUAAGUUGGGAAUAAAGUAAAUUUUCAACACGCAUCAACUCAAGAGAAGCUGAUCUUGGUCCUUAAGAGGAGAUUUUCACGAUUUGAUUUAGCUUCUCUUCCUGAGCUUGAAUGCGCGGAGUGGACUACAGUAGAUUUUCCUUCAGUUGCUUUUGAGGCCGUCAAGGCAUAGAUGGAGACUUAUCUGAAUGAGAACUUUGGUGACGUGAAACCUAAGAACUCCUCGGAGGAGGCGCUUCAGCGAUGGAGAAAACUCUGUUGGCUUGUGAAAAACCGUAAGAGGAGAUUUCGCUUCACUGCCAAUCUCACCAAACGAUUUGAAGCCGAAGCUAUAAGACGCUCUAAUCAGGAGAAGUUCCGAGUUGCAGUCUUGGUUUCACAAGCUGCACUUCAGUUUAUCCAUGGUCUAAAAUUGUCGAGUGAAUACACUGUACCAGAAGAAGUUAGAGCUGCAGGUUUUGAAAUUUGUGCUGAUGAGUUGGGAUCAAUUGUUGAAGGUCGUGAUGUGAAGAAGCUGAAAAUUCAUGGAGGGAUUGAGAGUAUUUCAAACAAGCUUGCUACCUCUUUAGAUGAGGGGUUGUCGACAUCUGAGCAAUUACUUAAUCAGAGAAAAGAGAUUUAUGGAAUUAAUAGAUUCACUGAAAGCCCAGCCCGGGGGUUUUGGAUUUUUGUAUGGGAAGCCCUUCAAGACACAACCCUUAUGAUACUUGCUGUCUGCGCCUUAGUCUCUUUGUUGGUUGGCAUAGUAGUGGAAGGAUGGCCUAGGGGUGCGCAUGACGGAAUUGGUAUUGUUGCAAGCAUAUUGCUUGUUGUGUUUGUCACUGCCACAAGUGAUUAUAGACAAUCAUUACAGUUUAAAGAUCUAGAUAGGGAGAAGAAAAAGAUUACAGUACAGGUCACACGAAAUGGAUGCAGACAGAAGAUUUCAAUUUAUGAUUUACUUCCUGGUGAUAUUGUCCACCUAAAUGUUGGAGAUCAGGUCCCUGCUGAUGGACUCUUUGUGUCAGGUUUCUCUGUGUUGAUAAACGAAUCAAGUUUGACAGGAGAGAGUGAACCAGUUGAUGUCAAUGACUGUCAACCUUUUCUUCUUUCCGGAACUAAAGUCCAGGAUGGAUCUUGCCGGAUGCUUGUGACUACUGUUGGAAUGAGAACACAGUGGGGAAAACUAAUGGCCACUCUAAGUGAAGGGGGAGAUGAUGAAACUCCCUUGCAGGUCAAGCUCAAUGGUGUAGCUACCAUUAUAGGGAAAAUAGGCCUUUUCUUUGCUGUUGUGACGUUCAGUGUUUUGGUCCAAGGACUAUUUAGCCACAAACUACAAGAAGGGUCCCACUGGAGGUGGUCUAGUGGUGACGCUAGGGAAAUUUUGGAAUUCUUUGCUAUUGCUGUUACUAUCGUUGUUGUUGCGGUUCCUGAAGGUUUACCCUUAGCUGUAACUUUAAGCCUUGCUUUUGCUAUGAAAAAGAUGAUGAAUGAUAAGGCUCUUGUCCGUCAUCUGGCUGCUUGUGAGACAAUGGGAUCUGCUACUACUAUUUGCAGUGACAAGACUGGCACUCUCACCACCAACCAUAUGACUGUUGUGAAAGCUUGCAUAUGUAGGAAGAUAAAGGAUGUAGGUAGCUCUAAAAUCUCUUCUGAUUUCUUGACUGAUGUUCCUGAUUCUGCUCUGAGAAUUCUCCUUCAAUCAAUAUUUAAUAACACUGGAGGAGAUGUUGUCAGAGACAAAAAUGACAAGAUUGAGAUUCUGGGAACACCAACUGAGAGUGCACUAUUAGACUUUGGGCUUUCCCUUGGUGGAGAUUUCCUUCAGGAACGACAAAUGUCAAAAAUUGUGAAAGUGGAACCCUUUAACUCUCUAAAGAAGCGCAUGGGAGUGGUUCUAGAGCUUCCUGAUGGUAGCUUCAGAGCACACUGCAAAGGUGCUUCUGAGAUAAUUCUUGCUGCAUGUGACAAGGUUAUAGACUCUAAUGGCACGGUCGUUCUACUUGAUGAAGAAUCCAUCAAUGAGUUGAACAACACAAUUGAAAAAUUUGCCAGUGAAGCUCUGCGAACUAUUUGCCUUGCUUACAUGGAGAUUGGUAGAGAAUACUCUGUUAAAAGUGCUAUUCCUACUAGUGGGUAUACAUGUAUAGGAAUUGUGGGUAUCAAAGAUCCAGUUCGCCCUGGUGUUCGAGAGUCCGUUGCCAUUUGCAGGGCUGCUGGGGUUACUGUUAGAAUGGUUACUGGAGAUAAUAUAAAUACUGCCAAGGCAAUUGCUAGAGAAUGUGGAAUUCUAACUGAUGGCAUAGCAAUUGAAGGUCCUGAGUUCCGGGAGAAGAAUGAUCAGGAAUUGCAUGAUUUAAUUCCCAAAAUUCAGGUAAUGGCUCGAUCUUCACCUAUGGAUAAGCAUACCCUAGUGAAACACUUGAGGACAACAUUUGAAGAAGUAGUUGCAGUUACUGGUGAUGGUACAAAUGAUGCUCCUGCACUUCAUGAAGCAGAUAUUGGACUUGCAAUGGGCAUUGCUGGAACUGAGGUAGCAAAAGAAAGUGCAGAUGUAAUAAUACUAGAUGAUAAAUUUUCCACAAUUGUGACUGUGGCCAAAUGGGGUCGGUCAGUCUACAUAAACAUACAGAAAUUUGUGCAGUUCCAGCUAACUGUAAAUGUUGUUGCUUUGAUUGUCAACUUCUCUUCUGCCUGUUUGACCGGAAAUGCUCCCUUCACUGCUGUCCAACUUCUAUGGGUCAACAUGAUCAUGGACACUUUAGGAGCACUUGCGCUGGCAACUGAACCUCCUAAUGAUGACCUGAUGAAAAGGCCACCUGUUGGUAGGAAGGGAAACUUUAUCACUAAUGUGAUGUGGAGGAAUAUCUUGGGGCAGUCUAUAUAUCAGUUUGCUAUAAUCUGGUUCCUCCAGACCAAAGGAAAAGUAGCUUUCCAUCUUGAAGGCCCAGAUACUGAUCUGACAUUGAACACGCUUAUUUUCAACUCGUUUGUAUUUUGUCAGGUUUUUAAUGAGAUCAGUUCGAGGGACAUGGAGAAGAUAAAUGUCUUUGAGGGUAUACUGAAGAAUUAUGUAUUUGCGGCUGUCAUCACUUGCACUGUCCUCUUUCAAAUUAUAGUUGUUGAGUUCUUGGGCACCUUCGCAAACACGUCUCCCCUUAGCUGGAAGCAGUGGCUUGGUAGUGUUUUCUUUGGAUUUCUGGGAAUGCCAAUUGCCGCAGCUUUAAAGAUGAUCCCUGUGUGAUCUGUCUGAAGUGAAGCUAGAUAAAAUAGGAACUUUCCUUUUUGUUGUGAUGCUCUUUACAUGUAAAUCAAGAUUCUUGUUUUGCCUCUUACCACGACACCAUCCAAGAAUGUCAUUGUGUGAAGUUCAGUACGCCAGCAAAUUAAGGGCCAAAUUUUCUGUGUUUCCAGUGCUGAGAGACAUCACAUAUCCAUUUGCCUGACUGCCAUCCAAUUUCAAUCUGAUUUAAACUGUAUCAACCAAAAAACUUCCAUCUUGUGAGGUUGGCUGGCUCCCCACAAGUGAUGGAUCCAAAUUAAUAUUGUCGACUCUGUUACGAGAAGAAAUGACCAGAGAUAAUAAUUAUGGGCAAAGACCACGAUGUCUGUGUCUUUUUCAGCAAGCUUGGUCGCAGGGAAAGGUAAAUUCGGAGAUAAUUGUGGGCACUGUAGGACAGCCUCAUCAUUGUCCUUUAUAGAACUUAAAACCCAUUGUACCGGAAUCGUGUGCUCAAUCUUUUUGAAGAAUAUGCACAUUUGGACGGUUGACUAAGUUUAUGAUAAGUUAAAUGGGUUUAAGUCU